UUUCUUAUUAAUUAAAUGGCAAGCCUUACAUUUGGGCAUAUGAAGAUAAGGAAUAAACAUGCUUCAGAUGUGUGGGCCUACAGGCAUUGGAUUCUUGUAGAUUGAUCUAUUGUUUGCAAUGCCUCCAUUCUUAGAUGGUGGAGAUUUCUUGACCAUUCCACAUUUGCACAACCUCGUUCCAGAUUUGAAGCUGGGACGCCUACAAUUGGAGAAGCAAUUGGUUUGGGGAGCUGCUAUUGAUUAUUUAUCUAGGAUCGAAAUGCAAAAAAUUCAUAGUUACGAAGUGAGUUGAUUGAAAUUUGGUAUAUACCCUUUGUUUGAGAAUUUUUGGGCGGUGAAAAAUGCGUGAAGCAACUAAAUCAGGGUUACCUGGAACACUGAAAAUUCAGAAUGAUAUGAUAAAUAUGUUUACUAGUUUUAAGACUUUAGUCUAACGACGAGGAGGUGUUGUAUGCUAACAAGAAGAAUUGGCGAAUUAUCUAUAUGAAAACCUUCGUGCAGUCCCUAACAUUCGAAUA